GGUUACUGCUAUCGGGGUCCGACUAAGCCAUGCGAGUUGAGAGGGGUAAGCUCUCGGCAUACUGCUCAGUAACACGCGGAUAACCUGCCCUUGGGUCCGGGAUAACCCCGGGAAACUGGGACUAAUACCGGAUAGAUCAGAGAAACUGGAAUGUUCUCUGGUUCAAAACUCCGGUGCCCAAGGAUGGGUCUGCGGCCUAUCAGGUAGUAGUGGGUGUAACGUACCUACUAGCCAGCGACGGGUAAGGGUUGUGAGAGCAAGAUCCCUGAGAUGGAUUCUGAGACAUGAAUCCAGGCCCUACGGGGUGCAGCAGGCGCGAAAACUUUACACUGCGGGAAACCGCGAUAAGGGGACCCCGAGUGCCAGCACCUAGUGCUGGCUGUCCUACUGUCUAAAUAACAGUGGUUAGCAAGGGCCGGGCAAGACCGGUGCCAGCCGCCGCGGUAACACCGGCGGCCCGAGUGGUAACCGUUUUUAUUGGGUUUAAAGGGUCCGUAGCCGGCUUACUAAGUCUCUUGGGAAAUCUGGCGGCUCAAUCGUCAGGCGGCCAAGAGAUACUGGUAGGCUUGGGACCGGGAGAGGUGGGAGGUACUCCAGGGGUAGGGGUGAAAUCUCGUAAUCCUUGGGGGACCACCGAUGGCGAAGGCAUCCCACCAGAACGGGUCCGACGGUGAGGGACGAAAGCUGGGGGCACGAACCGGAUUAGAUACCCGGGUAGUCCCAGCUGUAAACGAUGCUCGCUAGGUGUCAGGCGCGGUGCGACCGCAUCUGGUGCCGCAGUGAAAACUUGAAGCGAGUCACCUGGGAAGUACGGUCGCAAGGCUGAAACUUAAAGGAAUUGGCGGGGGAGCACUACAACGGGUGGAGCCUGCGGUUC
rnacentral:rRNA from 1 species